rnacentral:rRNA from 1 species
UACAGAGGGUGCAAGCGUUAAUCGGAAUUACUGGGCGUAAAGCGCGCGUAGGUGGUUCGUUAAGUUGGAUGUGAAAGCCCCGGGCUCAACCUGGGAACUGCAUUCAAAACUGACGAGCUAGAGUAUGGUAGAGGGUGGUGGAAUUUCCUGUGUAGCGGUGAAGUGCGUAGAUAUAGGAAGGAACACCAGUGGCGAAGGCGACCACCUGGACUGAUACUGACACUGAGGUGCGAAAGCGUGGGGAGCAAACAGG